AGUCCUGUAGUGAAGUUCAUGUUGGGUUGCAAACCCAUCGAUGUGUGCUGAGAGUACACCGGGGCUU
rnacentral:tRNA from 1 species